rnacentral:rRNA from 1 species
AUGGAGCGUGCCCUGUUCUGGGCAUCCACGUCCAUGGUCAUCGGGAAUGGACGGACCGCCCUGCUCUGGGAGGAUCGGUGGAUCGACGGCCAGUCCGUCCGUGAACUCCUGCCCAACCUCUACGACUGCAUCCCCAAGCAACGACGCACGGCGAGAACCGUGGCGGACGGGAUGAAUGACAACUCCUGGGCACGCGACAUUCACGGCAACCUACGCUUGCAUGAGAUUGGUCAGUACCUGCAGCUCUGGCAGGUCUUGCAGCAUACCGUGCUCUCUGCCGCCCCGGACCAGCUGAUCUGGAAAUGGAUGGCGAGUGGCACCUACUCUGCACAAUCCUGCUACUUGGCCACAUUCCACGGAUCGACGACUUGCUGCUCCUGGAAGCUUAUCUGGAAGUGUUGGGCGCCGCCGAGAGUUAAAUUCUUCCGCUGGCUGGCCAACCAAGACCAGUGCUGGACCACUGAGAGACUGGCUCGACAUGGACUGCAACAUCACCCACGCUGCCUCCUAUGCGAUCAAGAGCCGGAAAUGAUCCGGUACCUGCUGCUGGAAUGCCCCUUCGCUCGCCAGGUGUAA